GAGUCAGAUUGCUAUGGACUGAAACCUCUACGAACUAUAACCACUGUGAGGUAACUACAUCUCUCCAGGAAAUAGACACCAAGGUCCAGGAUGUCGGAUAAACCAACCACUUGCUAACACACUGCAGCAGAUUAACUAAUAGCUUGUAACGUCCAGCUGAACUGAAACACCUGAGGAUUGUUACCAAUAGCCAUAAAAAGUGAACUGGAGGCGAAGAUCACAGCCUGUUGAUUGUCUAGGAGAAGCUUUCUGCUUUUCCUGAAGCAAAGUAGGCUGUUCUCAUCGAAGGAGGAGCUCAGGACCUUGCUGUCUCUGGGAAUGGCUGCUGCUUUUAUCAGGGAUGUCUGAUCUUCACUGUGAGCAUCGCUUCCUGGUCCCAGUGUGGAUUCUUCAGCUUGGUGGCACAGGUCCUUCAUCUCACUGGCAUGGGUUUUGUGACUUGUACCACGGGCCUCCCUCCAGGUGCAGAUCCUCAAUACGGACAAGCAUGAGACACUGUUAUGGGCUCUAGGACAUUGGCUAAACUCAUGGAGGACACUGCCUCAGGCUCUAAGCCUUUAGCUGGGAUUACAGGGGACAUUGCUGGGAACAAGGCCCCAAGCUGGAUUCUUGGGCCCCUAGUGUGUGGUUAAUCUGUUGCACUCCUUUGCAUUUGACUUUUUGAGUAAUUAUCAUAAAUAACCCUAUAAACUAUGUGUUCUGUAGUAAAUGGAUUCCCUUGCCA